rnacentral:rRNA from 1 species
GAUGAACGCUGGCGGCGUGCCUAAUACAUGCAAGUCGAGCGAAUGGAUUAAGAGCUUGCUCUUAUGAAGUUAGCGGCGGACGGGUGAGUAACACGUGGGUAACCUGCCCAUAAGACUGGGAUAACUCCGGGAAACCGGGGCUAAUACCGGAUAACAUUUUGAACCGCAUGGUUCGAAAUUGAAAGGCGGCUUCGGCUGUCACUUAUGGAUGGACCCGCGUCGCAGUGGCUAGUUGGUGAGGUAACGGCUCACCAAGGCAACGAUGCGUAGCCGACCUGAGAGGGUGAGCGGCAACACUGGGACUGAGACACGGCCCAGACUCCUACGGGAGGCAGCAGUAGGGAAGCUUCCGCAAUGGACGAAAGUCGGACGGAGCAACGCCGCGUGAGUGAUGAAGGCUUUCGGGUCGUAAAACUCUGUUGUUAGGGAAGAACAAGUGCUAGUUGAAUAAGCUGGCGCCUUGACGGUACCUAACCAGAAAGCCACGGCUAACUACGUGCCAGCCGCCGCCGUAA